rnacentral:precursor_RNA from 1 species
GGCUUGAGGACCGUAUUCAUGGAAGAGGAUCGAACAGAGAUGAAGUAGACCGUAUGUUGGAUAAAUCUGAAGUAUUUGCCUACACUAGGGCACCAACCUUCACAUGACCAAGGACGUCUCCUCUCACUGAUGUUUGACAAGGACAUCCUCUGUAAACAACCCAGCAAUUGGUAAAGAUGAAAAUAUAUCGCCUCAAGUAAAAGGACAUGAAGACAGGGGACAUGAAGUAGGCAGUAUGUUGGAUAAAUCUGGAGAUGACAUUUAUAAGACGCUUCACAUAAAGAGAAAAUGGAUGGAAACUUAUGUCAAAGAAUCUUUCAAAGGCAGGACCAGAAAUUAGAAAGAUUUUGCAAAAUGAACGAACGAGAGAGGAAGAACAUCAACAACAAAUUUUGUGAGCAGUAUAUAACUACAUUUCAGAAGUCUUAUAUGGAUGUACAGAAAUUCAAUGAGGAAAAAGAAAAAUCAGUGAAUAGUUGUCAAAAAGAACAACAAGCAUUGAAACUGUCCAAAUGUAGUCAGAACCAGACCCUGGAAGCAGGUAAAGAAAUGCAUGAGAAGUCCAUGGAGCUGCAUCAUUGGACUCAAACUGAAUGGUCCAUGUGUUGCCACUGAUGUGAGCCAUUUGAAGCC